UACGUAGGGGGCAAGCGUUGUCCGGAAUCAUUGGGCGUAAAGAGCGCGUAGGCGGUCCGAUAAGUCGGUUGUGAAAACUGGGGGCUCAACCCUCAGAGGCCGACCGAUACUGUCGGGCUAGAGUCCGGAAGAGGCGAGUGGAAUUCCUGGUGUAGCGGUGAAAUGCGCAGAUAUCAGGAGGAACACCAAUGGCGAAGGCAGCUCGCUGGGACGGUACUGACGCUGAGACGCGAAAGCGUGGGGAGCGAACAGG
rnacentral:rRNA from 1 species